UUUAAAAUAUGCGGUAUUAUGCGUCUAAAUCGUUUUUUUCGCGUCUAUUCAUCUCUUCUCAUCAACCAUCUUCUGUUUCGUGAUCUUCUCAUCAACCAUCUUCUGUUUCGUGAAGAAGUAUCUUCCAAGUCUAUGGAUGUCAUUCAUCUUCUUUUCUUCUUGUAAUUUAUUUUUUCUAAGCAUUUUUUUCGUUCCGUAAGUUGAUUGUUUCUUCUGUACAUUUUUUUCUUCGAUUCAAAUUUGAUUUUCAUUCGAUUGCUUAUCGUUUCUUCUCAUAAACCCUAAUUUCUAUUACCGAUAUGCAUGUUUUUUUAUGGUUUCGGGGCAAAGCUCAUUGAAGCUGCAGGGGAUGAAUGUUAGAACCACCGUGAUGCUUGAGCAGGGAGUGAUUCUGCUAUUGUUGAUUUGCUGAAAUUUUUUCAUUGUUGAUUAAGCAUGCAUAAUUUUGCAGAGAUGGAGAAAAUAUGGCAUGUACCUGCUUACUUUGUUAGAACGCCAUUGCCCUAUAAUUUUUUUAGAGGAAAGAAUGUUUGGUUCCUCCACCAGAUGGAUAUAAGCCUCCAAUCAGAUGGCCAAAGAGCAGAGAUGAGUGUUGAUACAGUUUUCAAACUACAUUCUUUUGUGUGCUCAACUGAUGUGAACAUUUUCUCCUACAAAUCUCUAAGGAUGCUUGAAGAGAGGGAAGGAUGACAGUUCAGUUGCUAUUGAAGUAUCUGGUUAGCAAACUUGGACAGGAAAGCGAAUCAGAGGGACAGAGCAUAGGAGGGACAUACCUAAAGUUAACAAAUUGCCAUUUGAAGGACAUCAAAAUCUUGGAUGUAGUUGGAACUGGUGCGUGAAAUAGCUUGCAGGAUUUGGAGGACUUCCGACUAACCAUAGGAUAAAUCUCAGGCGGUCUUGAGAUUUCAAACAUUUCUUCUUUUUCUUCUUCUUUGUUUUCAAGAAGAAACAAAGACAAUGGCUACUCUCGUCGACUCUCAUUUCUUAGCGUUCACCGCACUUGUCACUAUUGACUAUCAGUUUUUGUUUUUCGACAUCACCGCGCUCCUCAAAUUCGACAAAGUCACUGAUUUUUCCGGCAUCCUUAUUCUUUACUGCACUUUGACCUUUUCCUUGAUUUCAAAAGGAAGCACGAAUUUCAUUAUAAUUGCUGUAUUGACACGGGUGAUCAAAGGCUCGUGGUAUUUUUGACAGGUGUGGACUGUGAGUUUACCGGUCACAUUGGUUAAUGCAAGCGACAGAAAUCCCUUUCUACAUGUUGUGGAUAUAAUAGGUUGGAUUUUGGUGAGGUAAGUGCUAUUAUUGCUUUCAAACUAAAAUAUUUUGGUAUUGCAGGGUUGUAUAUGGAAGAAUGUAAUUAAGCAGAUGAGGAAAUCACAAGGAUGCAAUAUAAUUGAGAUAAGAUUUAUAUUGGUGGUCCGAAUGCAAUUUUAUACUUUGAACAUGAUUUGUCCAUCCUUGUUCGUGUGCUCCCACCCUCAUUGGCAUGAUGUCUCAUGGAUGUCUCAUGGCUUCUUAGGGCAAAAAAUUCCAUCAAUUACAGCGGCGGUGAUUAAUUAUUGGUCUUAUGUUGUUUUUAUGUUUAUUUGUUUCGAACCAAUAAUUGUCUAACCUUAUAUGAGUAAUGUUGUUAUGCUUAGGUGGUUGGUUAUCGAUAAUGACUCCUAAUGAAAGACUAGCGCAUUUGUCCAUUCUCAGUCUCUAUAUAUUGAGAUGAUUGAUAAUUUGCUUAGGUAUAAUGAGGUGUUGUGUGUUGUGCGCUGUGCGUCGUGUUUUGUGCGUUGUGAACAGAGCCUAUCAUCUAUGUUUUAGGGGUUAGGGUUUUCGAUAAUGGCGUCUAAUACAAAAGUAUAGGACAUCUAUGUGUACAUAUUCCAUCUUUGUACAUUGAGAUGAUUGACAAUUUGCUUAGGUUUCAUGGGGGUGUGGUGGUGUGUGUUUUUAAUUGUGUUGUGUGCUUUGUCGUGUGUUGUGCGUUCUUUAUUAUUAGUUGUGUGUUGUCUACUUUGUUGUGUUAUGUUAUGUUUUGUGUGUUGUGCACAAAGCAUGUGUCCAUACUCAGUCUUUGUACAUUGAGAUGAUUGACAAUUUGCUUAGGAUUCAUGAGUUGUAGUGUGUGGUGUUAUGGUGUGCGUUUUUCUAUUUUACAUUGUGUAUUGUGUGUUAUGUGUUAUUAGUUGUAUGCUUUGUGUUGUGUGCUUUGUUGUGUGUUGUGUGUUCUUUGUUAUUAGUUUUGUGUUGUUUGCUUUGUUGAGUUGUGUUAUGUUUUGUUGUGGUGUGGUGUGGUGUGAGUUUUUGAGUUUUGGGUUGUGUUGUUUGUUAUUACUUGUGUGUUGUGUGUUAUUAAUUGUGUUGUGUGUUGUGUGCUUUGUCGUGUGUCAUGUGUCAUGUGUUCUUUGUUAAUAGUUUUGUGUUGUCUGCUUUGUUGAGUUGUCUUAUGUUUUGUUGUGUUGUGGUGUGUGUUUUUGAGUUUUGUGUUGUUUGUUAUUACUUGUGGGUUGUGUGUUGUGUUUUGCAUGUUGCGUGUUAUUAGCUGUGUGUUGUGUGUUAUACAUUGUGUGCUGUGUUGGUUGUGGUUCUCAACCUCUACUAGUAAUUAUUCUAUUUCUAUCCAUUUUGACUUUACUGAAGUACAAGGUCAAGUAUUAUAAGCUCCUAAGGUAAAUUGUUUUUAAAGUAUUCGACUAUUAUGUAAAAUUUAUCAUGCAUCACUAAUCUUAACUAUAUUAAUUUUUCAUUGUUUAAGAAAAAAUUUAAAUUUGAGCCAUAGUUUCAUUUGUUGUUAUUAAUGUUUUGUUCAAUUUGAAAUUAUUUUCAGUUGGAGAUAUGAGAGGGAAAUGGCUUCAAUCCAAGAAAUGAGUGAUGAAACUUCAAUAAUAAGCUUGGUGUCUUAAAUUCAACAUUACAAGAUUUUGGCAGAACUUCAAUUGACUCUAGUUGACAUAGCUUGUUUUCAAUUGCAACUCUUGAGAUGAUAUUAGGUCAUUGUUGUUUCUUUAGCCACUUGACCAAAUAAAGCCUACCUUGAAUCAUUUACCAUUGAACCCAAAUUUUGAGCCUGUUUUGACCUGUUUUUGUGACUGACCUGCUCAUUUCAAGCCCUUAGACCAGAAAAACUCUAUGUACCUUGCUAUUUGAUCGGUUCAAGAGACCGUUUGCACAUCUUAAGGAGCAUUAUGGGAACAGUGAACAAAGCACUCCAUUGCAGAGACAACAUGUCUCCUUACCUA